rnacentral:rRNA from 1 species
GAUGAACGCUGGCGGCGUGCCUAAUACAUGCAAGUCGAGCGGACGGACGAGACGCUCGCUUCACUCAUGUUAGCGACGGAUGGGUGAGUAAUACGUGGUCAACCCACCUAUACGACUGGGAUAACUUCGGGAAACCGGAGCUAAUACCGGAUACUAUUUUGAACCGCAUGGUUCAAAAGUGAAAGACGGUCUUGCUGUCACUUAUGGAUUGAUCCGCGCUGCAUUAGCUAGUUGGUAAGGUAACGGCUUACCAAGGCAACGAUGCAUAGCCGACCUGAGCGGGGGUUCGGCGACUGUGAGACUGAGACACGGUCCAGGCACCUACGGGAGGCAGCGGUAGGGAAGCGUCCGCGAUGGGCGAAAGCCUGACGGAGCAACGCCGCGUGAGUGAUGAGGGGCUUCGUGUCGUAAAACGCUGUUAGUAGUGAAAAACAUAUGUGUAAGGGACUGUGCAUAUCUUGACGGUACCUAGACAGAAAGCCACGGCUAACUACGUG